GGGCUCGUAGCUCAGUGGUAGAGCACUUGCAUGGCAUGCAAGGGGUCGCUGGUUCGAAUCCAGUCGGGUCCA
rfam:Candidatus Berkelbacteria bacterium CG2_30_39_44 cg2_3.0_scaffold_2660_c, whole genome shotgun sequence.